UACGUAGGGGCUAGCGUUGUCCGGAAUCAUUGGGCGUAAAGCGCGCGUAGGCGGCCAGAUAAGUCCGGUGUGAAAGUCAAAGGCUCAACCUUUGAAAGCCGGUGGAUACUGUGGGGCUAGAGUACGGAAGAGGCGAGUGGAAUUCCUGGUGUAGCGGUGGAAAUGCGCAGAUAUCAGGAGGAACACCAAUAGCGAAGGCAGCUCGCUGGGACGUUACUGACACUGAGGCGCGAAAAGCGUGGGGAGCGAACAGG
rnacentral:rRNA from 1 species